AGUGAACGCUGGCGGUAGGCCUAACACAUGCAAGUCGAACGGCAGCACAGGAGAGCUUGCUCUCUGGGUGGCGAGUGGCGGACGGGUGAGGAAUACAUCGGAAUCUACUCUGUCGUGGGGGAUAACGUAGGGAAACUUACGCUAAUACCGCAUACGACCUACGGGUGAAAGCAGGGGACCUUCGGGCCUUGCGCGAUUGAAUGAGCCGAUGUCGGAUUAGCUAGUUGGCGGGGUAAAGGCCCACCAAGGCGACGAUCCGUAGCUGGUCUGAGAGGAUGAUCAGCCACACUGGGACUGAGACACGGUCCAGACUCCUACGGGAGGCAGCAGUGGGGAAUAUUGGACAAUGGGCGCAAGCCUGAUCCAGCCAUACCGCGUGGGUGAAGAAGGCCUUCGGGUUGUAAAGCCCUUUUGUUGGGAAAGAAAUCCAGCUGGCUAAUACCCGGUUGGGAUGACGGUACCCAAAGAAUAAGCACCGGCUAACUCUGUGCCAGCCGCCGCAGUAA
rnacentral:rRNA from 1 species